rnacentral:rRNA from 1 species
UACGAAGGUCCCGAGCGUUGUUCGGAAUCACUGGGCGUAAAGGGAGCGUAGGCGGCGCGGUAAGUCAGAUGUGAAAUCCCGGGGCUCAACCCCGGAACUGCAUCCGAUACUGCCGUGCUAGAGGAUUGGAGAGGUAGCUGGAAUUCUUGGUGUAGCAGUGAAAUGCGUGGAGAUCAAGAGGAACACUCGUGGCGAAAGCGAGCUACUGGACAAUAUCUGACGCUGAGGCUCGAAGGCCAGGGUAGCGAAAGGC